rnacentral:rRNA from 1 species
UACGGAGGGUGCGAGCGUUGUCCGGAAUCACUGGGCGUAAAGGGCGCGUAGGUGGCGCGGGAAGUCAACGGUGAAAGUUCGGGGCUCAACCCUGAAUCGGCCGUCGAUACUCCCGGGCUCGAGCACUGUAGAGGCAGAUGGAAUUCCGGGUGGUAGCGGUGGAAUGCGUAGAGAUCCGGAAGAACACCGGUGGCGAAGGCGGUCUGCUGGGCAGUUG